GAACCUACAAGUGAUGGUGAAGAUUAGAAUAUUGGCAUAAGGCUUCAUCCAUUCUGCUUCCUUCUCGACGGCGUUACUAACCUCCGUAAUUCCUCCAAUCAAUUAUCCCCACAACGUGCUAGUGAAUGGCGAUUCUUCGGCUUCUCCGUUAAGACUAGAAUUUGAUAUAUAUUGUCCUUUUUCUUCAUAUGUGACUCAUUGUUUUUGGAUUUUCUUUCUCACACUAUACCUUGCCAAAUUCUAGCUCACUGUAAUGGCGACUUCCCAAGUAAACCCUUCCAAUCUGAAGAUUGGCCGUUGUAAGGAGGUUGUGGUGGCCCAUUUGUUUCUAUUUUUUGAAACUCGGAAUCUGAAGAAAAGAGACGAGCUUAUAUGGAGAGUUGACAUGUUGUUUGGACGAGAAGUUUCAAGAAUCUACAGAGGGAAGGAAGAGUGUACGAGCUCAGUUGUUCUGAUGUUGCAAGAAGCAACAUCCACUUCAAGCUGUGUGAUUCACCGGUCUGUGUUUGAUUCACAGAGCAUAUCAACUUUGUCGAGUUGAUGAACCCUACGGCUUGCAUUCCAAAUGAGAAGAAUUCAAACAUACAUGUCAACCGCUUCUUUGUGUUAGUGUAUUCGACAAGGUCACAAAUCUCCUCCAUGACAAGUUAGAACCCUUGAGUGGGGAGCCUAAAGCAAUGGUUGCAACAAACAUAAAUCCCAAAUUUGCUGGUGGUAAAACGGCUACUUUGUUUAUGUGGCUAUUUUGUAGUAAAGUACCAUUUUCAUGCUAGCUUAUUUUGUUAGUGCAUGUUUAUUCCUCAAUGCGACAUCAGCAGUGAUCACACUCUUUGACAACGAAAGCUGAGCCACGCAGGGAUUGUUAAAAGAGUUCUGUGGAGGUGGGGAUGGAUCCUUAACUACAUCCAAGGACGGUGGUGUUAAGAAACUUGAGUCAGUCACGUUCCAAGAGAUUAAUAGCUACUUUCACAACUCAACCCCACAUGUACAUCCACUUAGCAAGGCUGUGGAGUUCCUUUGCAAGGCUGAGGUGGCUGAUACGUCGCAUGUUCUAAGCGCAAGCUCCUUCAUUGAUUCACAUCUUUUAGCUGCACUGGAUUCAAUGAUGACAAUGCAGUGGGUUUAGUCAGAUGGUCGGUAGAAGAGGUCACUGAUGCAGCUCUUUUGUCACAAUUGACGAGGAAAUCACCUAACUUUCUUUAGGUGGGGAAUCAGAGUUAGGUUUAAGGCCUAUUGUGUUGGAUUCCACUUCGUACACAAUAAACACAUUUAAUGUUCUUUAUUUCAUUAUUGAAUUUGAUAUGCCAUUCAAAAAGUGAAACUAUAUACAAAUUUGAG